GAAGGGCGAUUGGCUGGCUCAGUCAGUAGAGCAUCAACUCUUGAUCAUGGUGUCGUGAAUUUGAGCCCCAUGUUGGGAGUAGAGAUUACUUA